ensembl:lncRNA
UGGGACGUUAAUUUCGGUGGACAAAUUGAUACAGGUUAUAUUUCAGUGUCACCCUAUCAAGUUGAUCAGCAACGUAAGAGGUUUUCCCUUUGAAAUUAAAAUAGCCAUUUAUCUUUUUUUCCCCCGAAGUUACAAGGAGACACUUUCAUAGUGUCCACAUUGUGGCAGAAAUGCCAGAGAACGUUUUUUUGUUUAGCAAACAAAAAAUAAAUGUAUUCUCUGAAUGAACCGUAGGUGGCAGCAGAACGCCGAAAGGCCUGUAGAUCACCAGUAACUAAUAAAAGAAGAAGUAGCUUAUCGUGCACCAGCAUGGACGUAUCAUAGAAUCACCAGAGGCUGUAGUUCCGUCUAACUUCAUGAAGGCGUUGGUUCUCAGGUGGAAGAGGAACACCGCCUUACUGCUCACUACAAAGGUAUAUUGAAGUUUUUAACGGGUUAAGUGGGCUUUGAAGUGGUCGUCUAUGAACCUAGCUUGACUGCUACCAUGAUGCUAUUGAACUCUCUCACUGAAUAUUUUGUGGAAAACGUAAAAUAUUCUGAGUAGCAAAAUGUAUGCUUGAGAUCAAAAUGUAUUUUUGAGAAUAUAGUGUUUAACACUGUUUCUUUCUCUACAUAGGUGGAGCAAUGAAGGCUAAAAUACGAGGUAAUUAAGAUAUUGGAGUUGGCUAGUAUUUGACCAUGUCAGCGCUACAAUGAUGAUCUUCAACGCUUUUACCGAGUCACACUUUGAAGAAACUUCUUUACCAGAUUCUGAGUAACCCAAUGGAGCUCAACUCUGUUCAGUUAGACUUGAUGUGAUUUUAAAAUCUCAUUUUUCUCAGUCAGUAUGGACAGAAAAAGGAUGAUGGCUGCAUAGUUGACUGGUGGUAAUGUGAACUAGCUCCACAAACCUGGACUUCGGCCAGUUAGUCCAAUGGAGGCUAUUGUUGAGGCGAGUCCCACAAGAUCUUAAUGCUUGUACACUUGCUUUACCGUGUUUCAAUAACGUUAAACCUAGCUCACUUUGAACCGAUGUGAAACUAUACAAACUUACUGAGAAUCUUCAGACCCC